UACGUAGGGGGCAAGCGUUGUCCGGAUUUAUUGGGCGUAAAGAGCGUGUAGGCGGCCUGGAAGGUCAGCUGUGAAACCUCCAGGCUCAACCUGGAGACGCCACCCGAUACUGCUGUGGCUAGAGUCCGGUAGGGGAGCGUGGAAUUCCUGGUGUAGCGGUGAAAUGCGCAGAUAUCAGGAGGAACACCAGCGGCGAAGGCGGCGCUCUGGGCCGGUACUGACGCUGAGGAGCGAAAGCGUGGGUAGCAAACAGG
rnacentral:rRNA from 1 species